AUUGAACGCUGGCGGAAUGCUUUACACAUGCAAGUCGAACGGCAGCACGGACUUCGGUCUGGUGGCGAGUGGCGAACGGGUGAGUAAUAUAUCGGAACGUGCACAGUCGUGGGGGAUAACGUAGUGAAAAUUACGCUAAUACCGCAUACGAUCUAUGGAUGAAAGCGGGGGAUUGCAAGACCUCGCGCGAUUGGAGCGGCCGAUAUCAGAUUAGGUAGUUGGUGAGGUAAAGGGUCACCAAGCCGACGAUCUGUAGCUGGUCUGAGAGGACGACCAGCCACACUGGAACUGAGACAUGGUCCAGACUCCUACGGGAGGCAGCAGUGGGGAAUUUUGGACAAUGGACGCAAGUCUGAUCCAGCCAUUCCGCGUGCAGGACGAAGGCCUUCGGGUUGUAAACUGCUUUUGUACAGAACGAAAAGGUCUCUAUUAAUACUAGGGGCUCAUGACGGUACUGUAAGAAUAAGCACCGGCUAACUACGUGCCAGCAGCCGCAGUAAUAC
rnacentral:rRNA from 1 species